rnacentral:rRNA from 1 species
AACGGCCGUACCAUGCUGAAUAUACCGGUUCUCGUUAGAUCACCGAAGUUAAGCAGCAUUGGGCGCGGUCAGUACUUGGGUGGGUGACCACCUGGGAACACUGCGUGCCGUU